rnacentral:rRNA from 1 species
UACGUAGGGUGCGAGCGUUGUCCGGAAUUAUUGGGCGUAAAGGGCUCGUAGGCGGUCUGUCGCGUCGGGGGUGAAAACUCAGGGCUUAACCCUGAGCCUGCUUCCGAUACGGGCAGACUAGAGGUAUGCAGGGGAGAAUGGAAUUCCUGGUGUAGCGGUGAAAUGCGCAGAUAUCAGGAGGAACACCGAUGGCGAAGGCAGAUCUCUGGGCCGUAACUGACGCUGAGGAGCGAAAGCGUGGGGAGCGAACAGG